rnacentral:tRNA from 1 species
AAGAAAGAAGACGAGAGCUGCUAAUUCACGCUACCAUGCAUAAACCCAUGGCUUUCUU